GGCCGCGUGGCCUAAUGGUUAAGGCGCUAGAUUUCGGUCAACCGAUCUCAACCGUGCUCUCUAGAGAUUCCAGGUUCGACUCCUGGCGUGGUCG
rnacentral:tRNA from 1 species